rnacentral:rRNA from 1 species
UGGGGAAUAUUGCACAAUGGGCGCAAGCCUGAUGCAGCCAUGCCGCGUGUGUGAAGAAGGCCUUCGGGUUGUAAAGCACUUUCAGCGAGGAGGAAGGUGGUGAGCUUAAUACGCUCAUCAAUUGACGUUACUCGCAGAAGAAGCACCGGCUAACUCCGUGCCAGCAGCCGCGGUAAUACGGAGGGUGCAAGCGUUAAUCGGAAUUACUGGGCGUAAAGCGCACGCAGGCGGUUUGUUAAGUCAGAUGUGAAAUCCCCGGGCUCAACCUGGGAACUGCAUUUGAAACUGGCAAGCUAGAGUCUCGUAGAGGGGGGUAGAAUUCCAGGUGUAGCGGUGAAAUGCGUAGAGAUCUGGAGGAAUACCGGUGGCGAAGGCGGCCCCCUGGACGAAGACUGACGCUCAGGUGCGAAAGCGUGGGGCAGCAAACAGGAUUAGAUACCCUGGUAGUCCAGCGCUGUAAACGAUGUCGAUUUGGAGGUUGUGCCCCUUGAGGCGUGGCUUCCGGAGCUAACGCGUUAAAUCGACCGCCUGGGGAGUACGGCCGCAAGGUUAAAACUUAAAUGAAUUGAC